rnacentral:rRNA from 1 species
UAAGGAAUAUUGGUCAAUGGAGGCAACUCUGAACCAGCCAUGCCGCGUGAAGGAUGACGGCCCUAUGGGUUGUAAACUUCUUUUCUACAGGAAUAAACCUUGGGACGUGUCCUGAGCUGAAGGUACUGUAGGAAUAAGGAUCGGCUAACUCCGUGCCAGCAGCCGCGGUAAUACGGAGGAUCCAAGCGUUAUCCGGAUUCAUUGGGUUUAAAGGGUGCGUAGGCGGAAUGAUAAGUCAGGGGUGAAAGCC